GAUGAUUUCAAUCAGGACCAGAAUACCACAAACAUAAAGUUACAGAGUAUUCCUUCUCUACCUCAGUCAGAAAUGGCUUGUUUUCUUCCUUUUGAUUGUUUCGACAUCUACAGUUGUGGAGAAAGGGAAACAGGUGUUUAUGAAAUAUAUCCCAUCACACGCUUUAUCUCUACUCAAGUUCUGUGUGAUAUGGAUUCCACUGGAGGAGGUUGGACGGUAAUUCAGCGCAGG